rnacentral:misc_RNA from 1 species
ACACGCCUCGGGUACGCAGAAGUCUCUUUUGUUCGAUGAAAUGCGCGGAGGUCUGUCUGCCGAGAAUUCUCAUCGUCAUCUGUCUCAUCGUGCAACUCACAUUUGCAACUGUGCGAAAGAAGAUCAAAAGAGGCCAGAGUAAAGUUCUCGGUAAAGACCGUCCACUCGAGAUGUUCCGAAAUUGCACGCCGGUUGUGUUACUUUUGAUAUACUGCCUCGCGCUUUGCACUCACGUCGACGCCUGGAACAAUCGCGGCAGACACCGAGUCGCGGACAGAAGACGGCUGUGGCAGACGAACGAUAGCGACUUCGUCGCGAUCUCGCCGCGAGACACGGCCAAGCACAGGUGGGAGUCGCCGAAAUUCCCAACCGAUAAUCGGACUCAAGUCGCCAGGCAGAAAAGACUCUUCUCGUUGUUCACGCUGGUGAGGUUUGACAAUGGCAUAUGCGGCGGGUCAAACGGAGAGAACGGCACGUGCGUCGCAGCGGCGGAAUGCGCCCAACGUGGCGGCGUUUCGAGCGGCGUCUGUGCGAACGGAUACGGAGUUUGCUGUAUAGUCACGAUGUCCUGCGGCGCGAUGAUCAGUGACAACAACACGUAUUUCGUCAAUCCAAACUAUCCGUCUACUUACGACGGUAUGGACUCCUGUCAGAUCACGUUGGUAAAGUCGCAUCCGGACGUGUGCCAGUAUCGAUUGGAUUUCUCGCAAUUCAAUAUCAUGGGGCCAGAGGCGACGAACAAUGUCUGCACUUACGACCAGUUCAUCGUUUCCGGCGGCAAUCCGGUGCCAACGAUAUGCGGUAAUAAUAACGGCAAUCACAUGUACAUAGACACGGGCGUCGGGCAAACAAAUCCGGUUACUCUGACAUUCGUCACGAGUGGCAGCUCGUUUCCACGAUCGUGGAAAGUUCGCAUCUCGCAGAUACGAUGCAGCACGAUUUACCGCGCUGAGGAGGGUUGCCUGCAGUACUUCACCGGAGUUUCCGGCCAGAUAAAAUCUUUCAACUACGAUCCCACGAGCGGAUUGCAAUUGUCGAAUCAGGACUACAGCAUAUGCAUUCGGAUGGAGAGGAACUUCUGCGGGAUCCAGUACAUGGCGUGUACCGAUGACAGUAAGUUGAAAAGAAACAUAACCCAAUUAUUCGAAAGAUUUUAUUCGUUCUGUAUUUUCAACGAGAUUUAUCCGUUCGUAGCAACUCAAAUGACGAUGCCCGCCGGUGCAACAAUAGCGGGGCAGAUUAUGCGUAGCAACGCUUUUACAUUGACUGGGAACACGCAGGCUACGCAGAUCGCGUCGAUGACGGGUAUAUCUUGCCUGACCGAUUGGCUGGCGAUUCCGUGUGCCAUUAAUUCGGGCAGAAUGCCCACAGUACCGUUGAUAUGCUCCGAUCGGCUGUGCGGAGGUACCUUCAAUGCGGAUACCCAGAAUUUAAACAGCUCCUCUGUCAUCAGUACCGUCAAGCCGUUUCGAUUAAUCUUUCACACAGACAACACCGAGGCGCCCGGCGACGUCGGGAACAGAGGCUUUUGUCUCAACUAUGUGCAACAACCCUGCACGACGAAAUUAAGAUGAAGAUGAACAUCGCUUGUACGGGGCGCGUACUCACACAUAUACGUUUGGCGCAAUGAAGGAACGAAAACGCUGGAGAAUGAUACAUUUUCUCCACGGCUCAACGCACGAAGAGUCUCUCGAAUCUCACCUUGAAGCAGACGAAGAGGGAGAACGGCAUCGUAACGAUCACUACGAUCCACGAUAAUAUGACCAGGA